UGAAGGAGAUGGUGCUUGAGACACAGGCAGCGACCGGAAGCACGAGCACUCCGAUGUGCCUGCUGGGGCAGAGGGCUGUCUCCAUCUUAGUUUGCACGGCUCUGUGAGGCCUUGGCCUCGGGCUGCUCACUGCUGUCUUGCCCUGCAGCCCCACAGCCUCCACCUUCCCUCACGGCCUCCUUUACUAAACAGCUGAGUCUGUCAGCCCCAGUGCGCCGUGUCUGCCUGUGUUCAUGUGUCCAUCAGGGCUUCUGCGCCCAUUACGGUCUCACCACAUGGCUGCUUGCUCCAGGCUGUUGUAAUGCAGUGAUCUUGGACUCCAUCCUAGGAGUAUUUCCUGAAGUACUCAGAGGACCUCUUUAUGAGACAUGGGCUUUAUUACAGUGAAGUUCCCAUACUUGCUUCCCUUCCCUCCUCCAGGGCAAAGACUGUGCCUUCCUCUUCUGCUGUUCCUCCGCCCAGGAGGGAGAGCGAGGCUGCUGCCCCUUCCUGAUUCUCAGUUCACAUGCUGCCUCCCUUGAGAAGAUCAUUCCAUGUGUGUGAGGGGUGCCAGUCUUGAGGAUGCAGCCUUAGUUCUCUUAGAAAGCAGUGUCGUGUCUGGUGGCUGACUUCACGCUGACAUGUCUCAGGAUGCAGGGGUGGCUGCUUUUUUUCCUAAAAGCAGCAUAUGUUUAUUUUAGAAAAUAUGGUAC